UGAUAGCGUAGAAGCGUGAGGUUGCUGCUCAUAAGAGCAGGUUUUCCGUGGAGCGAAUGUCAAGGCCGGUAAGAGACCGGC
rnacentral:ncRNA from 1 species